rnacentral:piRNA from 1 species
UGGAACUCUGGUGUGUGCCUUGAGGAUA